rnacentral:lncRNA from 1 species
CACCAUUACCUCCGCCGCCGCCAGGCAUUUGAACAGGAAAAGGAACACCACCGGGGCCUCCUUUACCCACAAUUUUGCCACCGGCGGGUCCAGGACCACCACCGCCGUUUUUCUGAGCGUUGGGCAUCAUCAUCAUGUUAGGCAUCAUGUUAUUAGGCAUCAUCAUGUUACCUCCACCACCACCCAUCAUAGGCUUCAUCUUGUUAGGCGGAGGGCGGUCGUCAAACUCGUCAUCGUCCAACUCAUCAUCAAACUCGUCGUCAUCAUCGAACUCGUCAUC